AUUGAACGCUGGCGGCAGGCCUAACACAUGCAAGUCGAGCGGAUGAAGGGAGCUUGCUCCUGGAUUCAGCGGCGGACGGGUGAGUAAUGCCUAGGAAUCUGCCUGGUAGUGGGGGAUAACGUCCGGAAACGGGCGCUAAUACCGCAUACGUCCUGAGGGAGAAAGUGGGGGAUCUUCGGACCUCACGCUAUCAGAUGAGCCUAGGUCGGAUUAGCUAGUUGGUGGGGUAACGGCCUACCAAGGCGACGAUCCGUAACUGGUCUGAGAGGAUGAUCAGUCACACGGGAUCUGAGACACGGUCCAGACUCCUACGGGAGGCAGCAGUGGAGAAUAUUGGACGAUGGGCGAAAGCCUGAUCCAGCCAUGCCGCGUGUGUGAAGAAGGUCUUCGGAUUGUAAAGCACUUUAAGUUGGAGGGAAGGGCAGUAAGUUAAUACCUUGCUGUUUUGACGUUACCAACAGAAUAAGCACCGGCUAACUUCGUG
rnacentral:rRNA from 1 species